GGCGCGGAGGGGACCGGCCGGCCAGUGCGUCCCCGCCCUUCCUCGCAGUCAGUUGACUUUGAGCGAGGCGCCGCAACCUAACCGAAACGACACAGUCGCCCUGUGGCUUUCCUGUCAUUCCGUUAGCUAGCCCGUGGUUUUCUGGAGAAGCUUCUGAAAGUGUCCAGGCAAAAGCGUGCAUUCGAGGGCUUCCUGGAGCAUCAGAUGCUAGACGAGAACCACCACCUGAUCCAGUGCAUCCUGGACUACCAGAGCAAGGGCAAGGCGGCCGAGUGCACGCAGUACCAGCAGAUCCUGCACCGGAACCUGGUCUACCUGGCCACCAUAGCAGACUCCAACCAGAACAUGCAGUCUCUGCUCCCUGCUCCACCAACCCAGAACAUGAACCUGGGCCCUGGAGGCCUGAGUCAGAGUGGCUCCAGCCAAGGCCUGCACCCCCAGGGCAGCCUCAGCGACGCCAUCAGCACUGGCCUCCCCCCAGCCUCCCUCAUGCAAGGCCAGCUCGGCAACGGUCCAAACCACGUGUCCAUGCAGCAGACAGCACAGAGCACGCUUCCUACGACCUCCAUGAGCAUGUCAGGUAGUGGCCACGGUACUGCGCCUGGCUACAGCCACUCGGGACCUGCCUCACAGAGCGUCCCCAUGCAGGGCCAAGGUGCCAUCGGCAACUACGUGUCUCGGACCAACAUCAACAUGCAGUCCAACCCAGUUUCCAUGAUGCACCAGCAGGCGGCUACCUCCCACUACAACUCAGCACAGGGUGGAAGCCAGCACUACCAGGGCCAGUCAUCCAUCGCCAUGAUGGGCCAGGGCGGCCAGGGGAGCAGCAUGAUGGGGCAGCGGCCCAUGGCACCCUACCGGCCAUCCCAGCAAGGCUCUUCCCAGCAGUACCUGGGCCAGGAGGAGUACUACAGUGAGCAGUACAGCCACAGCCAGGGUGCCUCGGAACCUAUGAGCCAGCAGUACUACCCGGACGGCCACGGCGAUUACGCCUACCAGCAGUCGUCCUACACGGAGCAGAGCUAUGACCGCUCGUUCGAGGAGUCCACACAGCACUACUACGAGGGGGGGAACCCCCAGUACAGCCAGCAGCAGGCUGGGUACCAGCAGGGUGCAGCCCAGCAGCAGACGUAUCCGCAGCAGCAGUACCCCAGCCAGCAGAGCUACCCUGGGCAGCAGCAAGGCUAUGGGCCUGCCCAGGGAGCCCCCUCGCAGUACUCCAGCUACCAGCAGGGACAAGGCCAGCAGUACGGAAGCUACAGAGCCUCGCAGACAGGACCGUCGGCCCAGCAGCAGCGCCCGUACGGCUAUGAGCAGGCAAGCUUUCUGGAUGUUUCCAGACGUGCCCGUCCGCCGUGUCUGUCGAGACAUAAUGAAGAUUUCUGUUAUGGUCAUGAGGAGUAAUGGAAUGGAACUAAUUGGCUUCCAGGGCCCCUUCCAGAAUGUUAAUUCUCUGAGCCUGGCCAGUAUGGAAAUUACCAGCAAUAAGGGACAAGCAUUCUUGUUGGAGCCCUUGUGGUAGCGUGUCCUCCCAGGGAUGGAUGGGCCGGUGGCAGUUGAGAGGAAUUUGCCAUGUCGGUUACCCUUUGCCCUGUGCCACGUCUGCAUGUGAAGCGUGCUCAUUUCAUGCUGGGUAUGACGUUGAGUGUGCACCACUGGUGCAAGACAGCGCUGUGACGGUGUGACAUAUUUGGUGCUGUACAUAGUAUUAUAUGUCGAUACAAUGGAGAGGUUGUCCCUUUUUGUCCCCUACCCCCUUCUCGAUGUCCUAGCUAGCUUUGGGGGUCAUCUUGUUAUCAGUGUUCUGUGUCCAGAAAUGGGACGUCUCUAAAAGACUCCGUAAUCCAUGUAUUCACAUCAGCAGACCUGGGUCUUCUCCCUCUCCUUGUGCCAGUGUCACACUGUGGGUUGUAAAUGUUUCUGUAACUGGCUGCACCGCCGACUACUUGCAGCCCUGGAUGGCCGCGUCUGCUGUGCCUCAGUGGGGGCUGGGACACUGCCUGUGUCUUGGCCAGGUUCUGUUAUGCGAUGAUAAGGAUAAACGUGCUUCACCCGGAGAGGCUUCGAGCCGUCAUUUCCAGAGCUUGCCCAUUGCUUGUGCUCUCACCACUUCUGUUUAUCCAAAAAGGUGUACGUCUUUGUAGCAGAAAACGAAGAGGGAUCAAUGACUGUAUUCCAAGUAAAUAGGAGUCCAUGAGGGCAGCGUGUGAUUAGCCCAGUGAUGGCGAACCUAUGGCACACAUGCCACAGUGAGCUGUUUGUGUCAUUGAAAGCUCCCAAAGGUUCGCCACUACUGGGUCAGCUUAACCCGGGGGGGUGCAGUACUACUGAGGAUUGACGGCAGUUCUCUGCCAGCUGGGCCAUCAGAAACUUUUUGGUUUGGCCUGUGCUUAUCUGACAUCAUUUUUUAGGAUUUGAAUAUUUAAUAUGCCCAGUCCUAAGCAGAGAUAACUUAAAGUAUUGAUACCAAAUUUUCCAAACAGUUGGCAAGUUUUUUAUUUCGUAUUAUUUCUCCUAGGACCUACUUGUUCAGAUCUCCAAGCAAGUAUUCCUUUUCUUUUAGGGUUGUCUGAAACCCAUAUCCUAUUUUUUAAAAUUAUUCCAGUAACUUUACUGUGUUCUUUCAAAUGAAAACUAAAGGUUUUAUAUAGUAAAAUUGGAAUAGUUUUUACCUCCCUUAGAUAUCCAGUUCCAUUUAAAUUCUGUGCAGCACACUUGAAAAUAGUCAGAUGAAAAAUCCUGUAUAUCCACGAACACGUGGCAUGGACAUUUGAUCAACUUUGAAUAAUAAAACCAUAUUUACUGUGACUCCUUAAAAAAAAAAAAUUCGGAUAAAUGCUGAUGUAUUUCCAAGAACUACUACCAAGAAAAUACAAAAUAUAUCCAAUGCUUGAUACAUCAGGCCUACUGAAGAUGUUUUUCUUUAAUUGAUAAUUGUUAUGUUCUAAAAAUUAAAAGUGUUUAUCCAGAAUUGAGUGCUUUAUAUUUUAUGGGAUUGUUUUGUUUUGUUUGCUUGAAUUAAUCCUAAGAGAGCAUGCUGGGAAAUACAGAGCAGAGGAAGAACUUCCCAGAGGAAGAACUGGGGCUCAGAUGAAAGGCUCUGUCAGUGUUGAUUACCAGUCCUAUCCUAGAAUGUUCUCCCCUCUUCCAUGAGAGAGAGACCAACAAGCAUAGGCCUACAAGCAUUUAUUCUGUAUGCAUAGGGUCUAAAAAACACGGGUAAGGGCUUGAAAAAUACGUAUGUCCAUAGAAAAUCACAAAAAUGAGAGCUUUUAAUUGCUAAGGUAUUAGCAGUUUCAUUUAGGGAGUCAUCUCAAUUUUGCUGUUUUCCUUAGUUUUUAUAGAGCUAAUUUGCAGAGUCAAUUGGGGACUAAAAUUGCCCAUUGAGAGUGUUAAACAUUUUACAUAACUGUGAAGACAGUCUUUAUUCCUGGCCAGUCUGGGAAUAUGCCUUUCAUGUGUGUACAUGCUGUUUUUUUUUAAGCGCUAUAUUAAUGCUUUUUGAAAGAAAAAGGACAUUUAAACAACGUAUCACCCCAAAACUUCAAUCUGUAAUGUCUUACAUUAAGAAUUUCUUGAAUGUUGUGUAUAUAUUUGUAAAAGCACUUUGUGAAAUAGUUUGUACAUUUAUUUCCUAAUUUAUACAUGAUUUUUGGUGUUAAUAUAUUUAAUAACAGAAUGUUUAUUUAAUGUUUUGUCCACUUCUAUGUAAUUUCGUGGGGGGAAAGUGAUGCCAGCAAUUCUUUUUCAUUGACUGUAUUAUAUCGUCUCUUCUGUAAUUCGAAUGUGUGGGAAAGCUUAGGCUGAAACGAAUUGUUCAUGCAGUGUGGUUGUGCUGGUUUUUUAUGGCUCUGUCUGCUGAAGGCCAGAAGACAUGCAAAAGGUGUGUGGAUCGCCCUUCAUUCUCCUCCGCUGUUUCCUGCGUGGGAAGUGACGACCGCGAUCCUCUGAUGUGCUGACGUACUCGCACGACCCGCAGAAGCUCAUCACCCGUUAGGCUUUGUUGUUGAACCAAGGUCUCUUCGGACUUCGCACGUUAGAAAGUGCGGAGGACCUCGGACCUUGCGCUCGAUCGGUCUGCAUGCAACUACUGAAGUGGACAAGGUCCUGGGCCCCGAAAGGAGCCUUCACGCGCUCACACAGUUGGGGUCUAGGCGAGCUUCUCCUUCUGCCACUGUUUUCACACCCAGGCUUGAAGAUCGCGCGCCUGUUCAGGAUUGUAGGAGGAAGGCUUCUUUUCCAUUUCCAUUUAAGAAUUCAAGUCAUCACUCGUUUCUAUUUAUGUCCGAUCCGUCUUGUUAUUUGUGAUCACCUUUUAAAAAAAAGACAUCGUUACUGGUUCUUUUUUUUUUUUUUUUUGGAGAUUGGGGUCUGAAUUGUUUAUGCUUUUGGUGUAAGCUCAUAAUAAACUGGUUCCUCAAAAA